GAGAAAGGAUAAUAUGUUUACCUCUGAAUCGAUCCUGCAAUACCUUGGCCCAAUGCUCCACUGGUGGACUGGCAAGGCAGCGAUCGAUGAAUCCUGGGUCGAUGGAGAUCGGAAGGGCAAUCACAUCUAUCUGGCGGUUUUCAAAAGAGACGACGCCAUUCUUGCGAAUGUCAAUGUUGACUAGUCGAGAACAGGUCUGAAGAAAAUGAUAAGCAAAUUCGGGAAUCUGGAA